rnacentral:lncRNA from 1 species
UGCUCCAAAAGGCUCCAAAAUGCACAUUUUUGCAUACUUUGUCUUUAGAACCUGAAAUUGCACAAAAAUGACUUUAAACACUAAAGCUACUAAGGAAUAACAAUAUAAAUGCAUGAGAACAAGCUAACUCAGUCGCAUAAAUAUGCUCUUAUCAAAUUCCCCCACACUUAGCUUUUGCUAGUCCUCGAGCAAAACAAAAGAAACAAACGAAUCAAAACAAACAGAACACAACUUAACCUUCCAACAUUUGCCUCAGGGAUUUCCAAUGCACAUGACAUGUUAAAAAUCAUCAUUCCCACAGCUUUUAGUCAUCUUCACACUUGAGCACAUACUUAAUUACAGUCACCACUUACUAGUUUGCAAUUAACCAAUUAAAACGAUAUUUUGAAUGUAGUAACAUGCCUUAGAGAAUUUGCUCAAUUCCUCACAAGAUACUCUCUAUUUUCACACACAUUUUCUGACUACACACCCUACACUAGUUAUAUGUGAGCAGAUUGAUGUAUACAUGGAAGACUAGUACUCACAUAUGUUAUAACAAAGAAAGCAAUUUAUGGAGUUAAUAAGCAUGUUUAGAUAUGAUCUCAUGAAUGGAAUGUUACUACUUAGAUGCGAGAACCAAUGACACCAUAUGCUCAUACCAAUUUCGAACUCACAAAUUGAAACACACAACACUCAAGAUUGAAGUCACGGGUUGUAACAGGGCUUGGGGUUAAUGGCUAAUAAAGAAAGGAUAGCAAUAAUAAACGUUCUUAAAGCGAUAGCAAGCAAAGCAAUGAAAUAGACACUUGGAAUUCACUUUAGAAUGCAAAAUCAACUUUUAAAUUCAAAGGGAAGAUUCAUGCAACACUUAGGGCCGAAUUCAAUGUUUUGGACCCUUUUUUAACAAACUUUUUUCUUUUCACUCUUUUUUUUUUUCCUUUUCUACCCGUGCCUUAUUAAGGACUUUGGUACACACACACACACAAGAAUCACUUCCCCCACACUUGCUUUCUGCAAUACAUUGAUAAAAAAAAGGAGUUCAUUCUAAGUUAUGCUUUACUAUGCUUGAAGAACAAGGGUAUGGAUGGUCCUAAAACUUGUUGUAAGUAUGCCCACAAAGCCACUCAUUUGAUGUAAUAGCUUUUUGGAAUACUUAAUGUAUUAAACUUUUAUAUGUUUAAUGAAGGGCAAAGCUUAUUAUUAAUCACUAUUUAUUGUAUCAUGUGUUUAAGCAAUAAGGGAAUCCUAGGGAUGUAUUUGAUCUAAGAGACAAGUGAUCUAAGUGAGUUAGAUUAUCGAGACCAUUCUCUUAUGUUCAUUCCUAAAACGUUCCUAGCCAUAGGAUUGGCAAUUGGGCAUUGACAAUCCGCUAAGGUUAGUAUGUGUUAUGUUGACUCAAGCGUGAGUAUGACUAGUCUCAAGUCAUUUGGUAUUGGACAUUAAGACAAACACAUAGGGGCUCGAAAGAGUAAUCGAGUACACUGAACAACGAUCAAAAGAGAGUUCGAACAUACAUGUCAUGUAAGAACUCGAAAGUUGCAAUAUGCAAAGUAGUCCUUUGACCUGAGGCAUCAUAGAUGUCUAAUGGUUAGGUCCUUGAUCUUUGAUCAUGUCAACGGCAUUCCAUCGGAGUGUCCACGGCAUUGUUGGGGUCAAGCUAUCUAGUCGUGUAGGCAUAUGAAUGCACAACUAGGGAUCUCUAACCUUCCAUGGUGGAAGGAGAAUACUCUAAGAUAUGAUUCUAAAGUCUUUGGCCAAAGCAUAUGAAUAUGACUUAGGAAGUUUGUUCCAAAUCAUAUUCAAGGGAAUCAUAUAGAUAUGUAUCACAUUGGAUAGUAGACAUGAAACAAACUAUCACUUAAACAAUGUGAUUAAGAGUAUUGUAUUAGAGAAUGACCGUAUUGCAUUGUAGUUGUAACUGGAUAGGUUCUCCAACCAAUUCUACUUAGCUUGGGUAACCAUGACAUACUGCUAGGUGUCACUCAUGGUUUGUGGAAGCCCUAAUGACUAGCAAACACUAAUCAUAAAGGGAGAAUUGAAAUGUGGUUUCAAUUCACAAUCGAUCGUUAAGAGAAACAAUCGCCCACUGCCUCGCUAAUUGGAACCUAAUGCAUCGUACACCGAGUAAGGGCGAUAGUGUAGAAAUUAAAUGAAAUGGAUAUGCAAUUAAAUGGUUUAAUUGAAGAAUGGUCAAGAUUAAUUAAUUAGUUAAUUAAUUAUACGAAAGGUUCGUACUGGGCUUUUAAGUUGGUUUUGGGUUUCGGGGCCCAAAAGUGUUUUGGUCCAUAAGGCCCAUUAUGUUUAAGUUGUAUGACAACUAAAACAAAAUGGGCAAUAAGCCCAAUCACAACAUAUAGGCCGGCCAUGGUGAGGAGAUGGUGAAAGUUUGCUUAAUUGCAAGUUUGCCACUCACCAAAGAAAAGUGUUAUAAAAGCAACUUUAUAGCUCUUUUCUAAUUAGGGUUUUCUUUGAGGCAAAGAGGUGAAACAUUUUCUCUCUUUCUCUCUACAAAGAGGCCAGCCACUUAGGGAGAUUGAUCUAACAAUCUCUUCUUCCCUAAGUCAUCCAUUUCAUCUUCACACUUAACCCUUGGUGUGGAGACUUAGAGACACCAAACUUUUGGUGUUUUGGAGAUCCUUUCCUUACAUCCACAAAGUCCAAAGGAGCACAAAAGGAGAAGGAAAUCACAAGCAAUAUCCAAGGAGCUAGGAGGUGACUUGAAGGCCCUCCACUUGGGUGAAUCCCUUGUGUAAACAAGGAUGGGCUUCAAGGGUAAAGAAACUCUAAAUCUUUACUUCUCUUUAAUGUUGUUAAAGAGUUUAUUGGUUCACCAUAUACUAGGCUUUGAAAGUCAUGGGUUUUAUGAAUUUUUUUUAAUGCAUGCCUACUUUAAAGUGUUAAUAGUUUGCAUAUGUAUUCAAAUGUUCUUACUUGUUCUUAGCUAGGACAAAAAUUUUCCUUCAAAACUAGGCUAGGUAAGGAUAGUGUGGAUUAACAAAGAACAUAGGCUUAACAAGGCUCAACGGGGUUAAACUUAAACACAUAAUGAAAUAGGGGCACGGCAAUUUGGCUUUGGUGGUCACUACACAACUUCAUCUUGAAUAUGUGUUAUGCAAAUCAAUAGCAUGCUUUGAAUGAAAUAGGCAUGAGUUCUAGCAUUUGGAACUAAAUGAUGAAACGCCUUCUAAGUAGCAACCAAGCAAAGAAUAAUGAGAUCAUGCAACGACUUUGAAAAACAAUGAUGCACAGAUUAUUAACUCUCCAAAUAAACCUUUAGGCUCAAGUCUCACAAGGUUGUAGCGUUCAUUUGAGUUCCUUCCUUCAAGCAUGUUACAAAACUGAUUUUUCCUUUAUGAUUGCAUGUGAAUUCAUAAAUUAUAACCACAACCAAGCAUACACCAAAGAGUAAAUCAAAUUUUCAUCCAUGUUUAUAACUCUCUUUAACAGUCAUGUAAAUAAAAACCAAAUCCUCAUCAUUGUGUUGGAAGGUACCCUAAGACACAAAUAAACACAUAAAAACAACUCUUUUUGGGUUUUUCAAAACAAUUUUUCAAAUUUUAUGAGAUUUUUGGAUUUUUAUGUCAAAACACACUGAAACACUCCAAAACAGCUUAAAAACAGCAAAGAACAACACUAUAAGUAAUGGGUGAUAAACUUCUACGAAUUUCAUGCAAAUCAAUUUGGUUACCCCCCCCCCCACACUUAAAUCAAACAUUGUCCUCAAUGUUUCAAGCAUAAACUCACACAAAAACAAGCAAACAAACAAACAACGAAUAAACAUGACAAGUAUAGCAAAGUAAAAACCGAACAGAGUAGAGUUUAAGAAUUCAAAUCUGGUUUUGGAGAUAGAUGAUCUUGUUGACUUUCCACAGCUUUGAUCUCGAACUGGUUUAGAAUUCUGAGUGAGGAAUAUCAGGGUUCCUUGGUUGUGCAGUCUGCAUUCUUCUCUGCUUGUUUCUUCUGCACGGCAGGCAGGCACGAGGUAGAGGUGAUGGUCUGUUUCUUUCUUCAAUCUUUCCAAGUGUCGACCAUUUGCUUUCUUUCUCCUUGUCCCUAGCUGAGGUUGAAUUAGCACAUUGUCUCCACAUGCUUCGAGGUAUCAUUUUCACUUCCCUUAUCUGUUCCCCAGGCAGAAGUGGUAGACGAAGAGUAAGCAUAAGAUGUUGAAGAUGAGUACUCGAGAGCAAGGCUAGGUAAGCAAUCAGGAAGGGGUUCCAGGCAGUCGGUUCCAGAUCGGAAGAUUGAUACCAAGUGCUAGCUGAUUGCUCUCUUUCUCCUUGUCCCGCGGAUGAAAACAACGACAAGGAGAAGGACAGGAAGAAAGCAUGAUAUGAGAUACUCUUGCUUUCAACCUUCAUGAUAUGAAAUACUUUUGCUUUUGAUGGGUUGUUUACAGAGGUAUCCCAGGGAAUAAAGAACACUGAGUGACUCGAGAGGCUUUGUUGGGAAGGCAUUCUCGGAGAUGAAGAAGGGUUAUGUAUGUCUGCCUUGCAUUGGGAGGUGAAGGUCGACAUUUAUAUGAAUUAAUAACCGGUACUAUUCUUUCACUUUUGUCGACAACCGUUUGAUGAUUGAAUAGUAAUCUUCACGUGCUUUCUACGUCACCAGAAAUCUUCAACAGAUAGCCCGUAAUUUCCGCAAGGCUGAGUGUGCAUGUGGCAGAUGCUGGCAUGUCUGGAAAGCAAAUGCCUCUUCGAUAUCUGAAAUCGGCGCUUCGACAAAUUGCCCGUGAUUUCCGCACACUGAGUGUGCAUGUGACAGAUGCUGACACGUCUGGAAAAGCAAAUGCCUCUCCGAUUUCUGAGCUUGCCUCUUCAAUUUCUGAGCUCCGUCGAGUGCAGAGGUUGCAUGUAACAAGUGUGGACAAAUCUGGAAUAGAGGAUGGCCCGUGGUUUCUGAGCAAGCCCAGCUUUUGAGAAAGCUAGCGCCUCUUCGAUUUUUGAAUUGGCCUUUUUGAUUUCUGAGCUCACAUUUUCGAUCUCUGAAAUCCCAUCAAGUGCUGAUUUUUAUAGAGGAUAAGCAGUUCGUUUCUAAGCACACUUGAAUUUCUGCCCAUAGAAAUUCUCUUCAUUGCACUUCUAAGAUCUCGAUUUGUCCGACCUCUUUUUUCUUCAACACCUUUGAAAAUGUCUGGCCCCUCCGAUCGUCGUUUUGACUUGAACCUUGGUGAAGAGGCAUCCAUGCCUUCUCCAGACAACAUAUGGCGCCUAUCCUUCAUAUCCCCUACUGGUCCUCUUACCGUUGGGGAUUCAGUGAUGAAGAAUGAUAUGACCGCUGCGGUGGUGGCCCGGAACCUUGUCACUCCCAAAGAUAACAGACUACUUUCCAAAUGGCCUGAUGAGUUGGCUGUUAAGGAUUCUCUGGCUCUCAAUGUGCAGUGUGCGGGUUCUGUGUCUAAUAUGGCCCAACGUCUAUUUGCUCGAACCCGUCAAGUUGAAUCAUUGGCGGCUGAAGUGAUGAGUCUUAAACAGGAGAUUAGAGGGCUCAAGCAUGAGAAUAAAUAGUUGCUUAAGCUUGCAUAAAACUAUGCUACAAACAUGAAGAGGAAGAUUGACCAGAUGCAGGAAUCUGAUGGUCAGAUUUUACUUGAUCAUCAGAGGUUUGUGGGUUUGUUCCAAUAGCAUUUGCCUUCGUCUUCUGGGGCUGUACCGCGUAGUGAAGCUCCAAAUGAUCAACCUCCGAUACCUCCUCCUUCUGUGGCUCCGCCGACUGUUAAUGCUCCGCCGACUACUAAGACUUCUCUUAAGCAGCCUUUGUGAAGGCUCCCUAUUGUAUUUUUCUGCCUCCCGUUCAUUUUCAACGAAUUUUAAUGUAAAAUACCUUGCAUAUCUGUCAAUGUUUCAAAAAUAAACCCACAACAAAAACAAUUAAAUAAGCAACAAAUAAAAAUGACAAUCAUGGCAAAAUAAAAUUGCAGAAAAGGGAAGGUUUUUAGGAACCCAAAACAUAGGUUGCCUCCCAUGAAGCGCUUGCUUUAACAUCUUGCAGCUGGACGAAACUUCCUUUUAAGCUUAGAUAGGGCCCACGACACUUAGUAGGAUUUCUUCCACAAUCUGCCCCACAUCACUCUCAUAGUAUAGCUUCAGGCGAUGCCCGUUCACUUUGAAUUCGUCACCGUUCCUUAAGCUUUUAACUUGGACUGCACCAUGGGGAAAAACAUUAGUGACAACUGUUGGAAGUAUGCCCACAAAGCCACUCAUUUGAUGUAAUAGCUUUCGGAAUACUUAAUGUAUUAAACUAUUAUAUGUUUAAUGAAGGGCAAAGCUUAUUGUUAAUCACUAUUUAUUGUAUCAUGUGUUUAAGCAAUAAGGGAAUCCAAGGAAUGUAUUUGAUCUAAGAGAGAAGUGAAUUAACUAAGUUAGAUUAACGAGACCUUUCUCUUAUGUUCAUUCCUAAAACAUUCCUAGCCAUAGGAUUGCCAAUUGGGCAUUGACAAUCCGCUAAGGUUAGUAUGUGUUAUGUCAACUCAAGCGUGAGUAUGACUAGUCUCAAGUCAUUUAGUGUUGGACACUAAGACAAACACAUAGGUGCUUGAAAGAGUAAUCGAGUACACUGAACAACAAUCAAAAGAGAGUUCAAACAUACAUGUCAUGUAAGAACUCGUAAGUUGCAAUAUGCAAAGUAGUCCUUUGACCUGAGGCAUCAUAGAUGUCUAAUGGUUAGGUCCUUGAUCUUUGAUCAUGUCAAAGGCAUUCCAUCGAGAGUGUCCACGGCAUUGUUGGGGUCAAGCUAUCUAGUCAUGUAGGCAUAUGAAUGCACAACAAGGGAUCUCUAACCUUCCAUAGUGGAAGGAGAAUACUCUAAGAUAUGAUUCGGGAGUCUUUGGCCAAAGCAUACGAAUAUGACUUAGGAAGUAUGUUCCAAAUCAUAUUCAAUUGAAUCAUAUAGAUAAGUAUUACAUUGGAUAGUAGACAUGAAACAAACUAUCACUCAAACAAUGUGAUUAAGAGUAUUGUAUUAGAGAAGGACCGUAUUGCAUUGAAGUUGUAACUGGAUAGGUUCUCCAACCAAUUCUAUUUAGCUUGGGUAGCCAUGACAUGCUGCUAGGUGUCACUCAUGGUUUGUGGAAGCCCUGAAGAUUAGCAAACACUAAUCUUCAACAAAGGGAGAAUUGAAAUGUUGUUUCAAUUCACAAUCGAUCGUUAAGAGUAACAAUCACCCACUGCCUCGCUAAUUAGAACCUAAUGGAUCGUACACCGAGUAAGGAUGAAAGUGAAGAAAUAUAAAUGAAAUGGAUAUGCAAUUAAAUGGUUUAAUUGAAAAUGGUCAAGAUUAAUUAAUUAGUUUAUUAAUUUUACGGAAGGUUCGUAUUGGGCUUUUAAGUUGGUUUUGGGUUUCGCGGCCCAAAAGUGUUUUGGCCCACAAAGGCCAUUAUGUUUAAGUUGUAUGACAACUAAAACAAAAUGGGCAAUUAGCCCAAUAACAAUGACAAGGCCGGCCAUAAGGGAGAGUGGAUGCAAACUUGAAUUAAUUACAAGUUUGCCACUCAAAUGUGAUGUAGUAUAAAGUUAACUUUAUAGCUAUUUUCUCAUGAGGGUUUUCUUUGAGGCAAAGUGGUGAAAUAUUUUCUCUCUUUUCUCUACAAGGAGGCCGGCCACUUAGAGAGGAUUUAGCUAGCAAUCUUUCUUCUCUAAGUCAUCCAUUUCAUCUUCACACCUCAUCCUUGCUGUGGAGACUUAGAGACACCAAACCUUUGGUGUUUUUGGAGAUCCUUUCCUUACAUCCUCAAGGAGCAAAGGAGCACAAAAGGGAAAGAAAUCACAAGGAAGAUCCAAGGAACUAGGAGGUGACUUGAAGGCCCUCCACUUGGGUGAAUCCCUUGUGUAAACAAGGAUGAGCUUCAAGGGUAAUAAAUAUCUAAAUCUUACCUUCUCUUUAAUGUUGUUAAAGAGUCUUAUGGUUCACCAUUCACUAGGCUUUGAAAGUCAUGGGUUUUAGAAUUGUUUUUUAAUGCAUGCCUACUUUAAUGUGUUAAUAGUUUGCAUGUGUGUUCAAAUGUUCUCACAUGUUCUUAGCUAGGACAAAAUUUUUCCUUCAAGUGGUAUCAGAGCCUAGGUCUAGUUUAUGGUGAAUCCUUUUGGGUUUUGUGAUUUUCAUGAUUUGUGAUUUAAAUGUUGUAAAUGUUACAAGCUUUGUUCUUGCUUUUGAAUAUAAAUUUUGCUUGAAAAUUUAGCAUCUCAAAUGUUGUAGAUGUAGUUCAUUUAAGCAUGAAUAUUGGAACUAAAAUUUGGUGCCAUGUGUGUUGGGAAAUUCGGCCAAAUCCAAAGGGUGGAUUUUUGGGUUCAUGUUUGUCUUGUUAAAAUGGUUUUAAAGUGACUUUUGGAACCCCUAAGUACCCUAGGAUAUUAACCCUCUUUUGUUUUGUGAAAAUUUGAGGUUUAAUGAGUGAAAACAUUCAUGGAGCUCUUAUGAGUUUUCAUGUGUGUUCUUCAAUGUUCUUGAGUUUCUUACCAAGAACAAAAGGGUUUGGAAUUUUGAUUCAAAGUGUUUGGUGUUUUUCAUAAAGUUUUGGUUUAUUUUAUGAUGGGUGAUGGAUUAUUGGUGAGGAUGAUAAAUGCUAUUAAUGUUUCACAAAACAUUUUUCUUACAACCCAUCCCAUUCACCUUUAUCCUCACCCACCUAUUCCACUUGCAUAUUCCACUUGCAUGCACCACUUGCAUAAAACCCUUUCACACUCUUUUUUCACUUUAAAACCGGCCAACCCCAAGUGGGGGUGAUUUUGGGCCUUUUAUGCAAUUACAUAAAGUUUUGAUACUUUUGUGUUUUUGUAUUUUGGCCCAUAAGUUUACGUUUUUACGUUAAGGCCCAAAAACUCUAAAGGACAAAUUGUUUUGUUCCUUUAUUGAUGUUUUUGUUAUUUUUAAAAAUUUUGGGUUCUAAUUGUAAUUACAUGAAGUUGUGGACUUUUGUGUUUUUACAAAGUGACCCCAAAAGUUUAUGUUUAUUAAAUAAUGGCCCAAUUGUUGAGGCCAUUGUUUUUGGCCCAAAUAAAAUGAGAACAAAAUGGUUUUGUCUCUUUAAUGAGAAUUGGAUUUUCAUUUCAAUUAGUUCCAUUUAAAUCAAUUCUAUGAAUCCGAAAACCAAUUGUUUAAGUUGCUUUCUUAGUUAAUGUGAUUGAUUAAGAAAAGGGUGAUUAUAAACCAAAGGCCUUGAUAAUUGAGCUAUGUGAUUGGCCGCUUUACAUUAUGAAUGUUUGGGUUUAGUAGUUUAGAUUUGAAUGUAAUUUGAUUAGUUCAAAUUUGUUGUAAAUGGACAUAAGUCCAUCAAAUGUGUUGUAAAAGGGCAUAAGCCCUUCUCUUUAUUUCAAGUAUUCCUUUUUGUUUAUAUGUAUGCAAAUUGGAAUAGUUGGGUCCAACGCCCAAUAGGAAAUAACGGUUUAAUUGGAUUAAACGCGUAACUAAAAUCAACAACUAGCUACCUUAAACCCAAGGUCCAACACAAGGCUCGUGUUGGAUCAAAUCAAACGGUUCAUAAUCAUCCUAAGACCUAAUAUGACUAUAUAGUCCAUAUGAUGAUGCAAAGCAUUCGUUAGUAGUUCCAUGUAGUCUCGCUUGUUUCAUCGAAAUAGUGGGAGUAUUAUAUACUACUAAAUCAUAUUAACUUGGACCAAUGGUUGUGAUAGGCCCAAGUUCUUUUAAUAAGAUUAAAAUGUAAUUGAUGUAGCCCAACACUACUCCCUCAACAAAAUGAAUAUUAAGUUGAUAAGCGAGAGAUGUUUUGAAAAUGUCUUCCUAGGCCUUCCACCGUGGUGGGCUUCAAUCGUUUGUGACUCAUACGCCGUAUUCGUCCAGUUCUGGGGUAUGCAAAGUAUGUGCUUACAUUCAGGAGAAGCCUAUAAACAUAUGAUGAAGUGAAGGUGGGCAACGAGUAUGGUCAAUAUGAUAUUCUUCUGAGGCCAUUCUUGAACCCCUACUUGAACUAGCAUGGUGGGAAUGACUUAACUAAGUGCAAUUGUGCCAAUAAGAUAUUCUUCUGAGGCAUCAUUCACUAGAGGCCAAACUAGAUGGGUUAUUACAAAAGUUGUAAAUGGCUAAAGCGUUAUCCUCUCAUCAUUAUUGUUGCUAGCCAAUAUGAUAUUCUUCUGAGGUGGGCUUGGUAAUGGUGAGUCUCCCAUACCUCGCUAAGAGUUCAACAUAAUUCUCAAAUUCCAUUGAGGGAUGUGGAAUUUUCCGAAAAAUAGUGGGUGGUACUAUGUGAUUUAAGACCCAAUCAAGUAGUUUUAAAAAUCAACAAUCUAAUACGAUUUCUGUUAUGUUAUGUAGUUAACGACAUGCCUAAAAUUACACCCACCAUUAUACUUGACAAAAGGGGCCUUAGGGGCCAACGUUUCCUUGCUUGGUAUCGCCACAUUGAGAAUGUCUCAAAGGUGAAAGACAUAUUGUAUGUGCUUAAGCAAUCCCCUUCUCAUGUACCUCCUACGAAACUAGCUUCAAAGGAGGAGUGUCAAGAUUAUGCUAGACACUAUGAGGAUGACGUACAAACCAAAUGCUUAAUCCUCACUUCACUUAGUGAGGAGCUUAUGAAGCUACAUAAACACAUGGACACUUCUUGUGCCAUGGUUGAAAGUUUGCAUAAGAUGCAUGACAUUGAGACUAGUAAUGUACGAUUCUCAAAUGUUUGUAGUCUAAUGAAUGCCAAAAUGGCAAAGGGGACAUCGGUCCAUAAACAUGGACAAAAGAUGGAAAAGAUUUUUCAAGAUCUUGAAAGUUUAGGAACUUCAAUCGAUGGGAAAAUGGCCCAAGACUUUUUCCUUGCAUCUCCCUCGGAUGAUUUCACUAAGUUUAUUGUAAACUAUAAAGUGAAUAGAUUCGAUCAUACUUUAACCGAGAUGAUUGACAUGUGCUGUAAGUUUGAAAAGGGUUUCAAAAAGGACAAUGGGAGUGAGAAUGCAAUAACAAAGAAAAGGUUGCAUAAGAAGAAGGCAAUAAAAUCCAAAGGAACAUGCUUUCAUUGUGGAAAGGAUGAACGUUGGAAGAAGAAAUACAGGGUGCGUAUUGCGAGCCUUAUGACACGAACUUUUGAAGAGAUUAUUUCCGUCAUAGAGAGUGCUUUUACAGUGAGCUCCAAUUCCUGGAUAUUUGAUUCAGGCGCUAGUCAACAUAUCUGUAAUACGAUGCAGGGACUAGCAGGGAGCAGGACACUACGCAAUGGGGAGAUGGUUGUGCGAGUUGGGAACGGCACUAAAAUCUCUGCAAAAGCAAUAGGCACCUACAUGCUUAAACUACCCUCUGGAGAAGUCCUGGAACUUAAAAAUUGUUUAUAUUUUCCUUCAUGUAUAAAGAAUUUGAUUUCUAUCUCUAAGCUUUUACGAGAUGGGCACUCAGUAUUGUUUGACAAAAUGAGUUGCACUUUAUACUUGAACGGUCGUAUUAUCUCUCAUGGUAAUAUGAUAGAGGGACUUUUUCACCUAGAGACGAAUAGUGGGAUGCACUGUAUUGAAAACGGGAAUACCUCAAAACCCAAAAGGGCUAGAGAAGAAGUUAACCAAGAAAGGAUGUGGCAUCUUAAACUUGGACAUGUGAACCUUGAUAAAAUUCGCAAGAUGUCGAAAGACGGAUAUCUCCGCCCAUUAGGUAAUGACCAGAUGGGGUACUUGUGAAUGUUGCUUGAAUGGGAAGAUGACCAAAUCUCCAUUCACUGGGAAAGGAGAGCGUGCCACUGAAAUUCUAGGGUUAAUCCACACUGACAUAUGUGGACCUAUGUCUACUACGUCGAGAUGAGGCUUCUCCUACUAUAUCACAUUCAUCGACGAUCACUCUCGGUUUGUCUAUGUGUAUCUGAUGAAGUACAAGUCAGAAUCCUUUGAAAGGUUCAAAGAAUUCAAGAAUGAAGUUGAGAAGCAAAUUGGAAAAAAUCGGAUCGAGGGGGUGAAUAUCUAAGUAAUGAAUUCCUAGACUACCUCAAGGAGUGUCGAAUAGUAUCACAGUGGACUCCACCAGGAACUCCUCAACAUAACGGAGUUUCUGAAUGGAGAAAUCGAACUUUGAUGAACAUGGUUCAUUCUAUGAUGAGUUCCGCUGACUUACCAGUUUCGUUCUGGGGAUAUGCACUGAAGGAAUAUUUUGUGAAAACAAGUUCAUUUAAGCAACAUCUAUAAGCAUGCAAUUAACAAUUAANCAAGUAUGUGCUUACAUUCAGGAGAAGCCUAUAAACAUAUGAUGAAGUGAAGGUGGGCAACGAGUAUGGUCAAUAUGAUAUUCUUCUGAGGCCAUUCUUGAACCCCUACUUGAACUAGCAUGGUGGGAAUGACUUAACUAAGUGCAAUUGUGCCAAUAAGAUAUUCUUCUGAGGCAUCAUUCACUAGAGGCCAAACUAGAUGGGUUAUUACAAAAGUUGUAAAUGGCUAAAGCGUUAUCCUCUCAUCAUUAUUGUUGCUAGCCAAUAUGAUAUUCUUCUGAGGUGGGCUUGGUAAUGGUGAGUCUCCCAUACCUCGCUAAGAGUUCAACAUAAUUCUCAAAUUCCAUUGAGGGAUGUGGAAUUUUCCGAAAAUAGUGGGUGGUACUAUGUGAUUUAAGACCCAAUCAAGUAGUUUUAAAAUCAACAAUCUAAUACGAUUUCUGUUAUGUUAUGUAGUUAACGACAUGCCUAAAAUUACACCCACCAUUAUACUUGACAAAAGGGGCCUUAGGGGCCAACGUUUCCUUGCUUGGUAUCGCCACAUUGAGAAUGUCUCAAAGGUGAAAGACAUAUUGUAUGUGCUUAAGCAAUCCCCUUCUCAUGUACCUCCUACGAAACUAGCUUCAAAGGAGGAGUGUCAAGAUUAUGCUAGACACUAUGAGGAUGACGUACAAACCAAAUGCUUAAUCCUCACUUCACUUAGUGAGGAGCUUAUGAAGCUACAUAAACACAUGGACACUUCUUGUGCCAUGGUUGAAAGUUUGCAUAAGAUGCAUGACAUUGAGACUAGUAAUGUACGAUUCUCAAAUGUUUGUAGUCUAAUGAAUGCCAAAAUGGCAAAGGGGACAUCGGUCCAUAAACAUGGACAAAAGAUGGAAAAGAUUUUUCAAGAUCUUGAAAGUUUAGGAACUUCAAUCGAUGGGAAAAUGGCCCAAGACUUUUUCCUUGCAUCUCCCUCGGAUGAUUUCACUAAGUUUAUUGUAAACUAUAAAGUGAAUAGAUUCGAUCAUACUUUAAACCGAGAUGAUUGACAUGUGCUGUAAGUUUGAAAAGGGUUCAAAAAGGGACAAUGGGAGUGAGAAUGCAAUAACAAAGAAAAGGUUGCAUAAGAAGAAGGCAAUAAAAUCCAAAGGAACAUGCUUUCAUUGUGGAAAGGAUGAACGUUGGAAGAAGAAAUACAGGGUGCGUAUUGCGAGCCUUAUGACACGAACUUUUGAAGAGAUUAUUUCCGUCAUAGAGAGUGCUUUUACAGUGAGCUCCAAUUCCUGGAUAUUUGAUUCAGGCGCUAGUCAACAUAUCUGUAAUACGAUGCAGGGACUAGCAGGGAGCAGGACACUACGCAAUGGGGAGAUGGUUGUGCGAGUUGGGAACGGCACUAAAAUCUCUGCAAAAGCAAUAGGCACCUACAUGCUUAAACUACCCUCUGGAGAAGUCCUGGAACUUAAAAAUUGUUUAUAUUUUCCUUCAUGUAUAAAGAAUUUGAUUUCUAUCUCUAAGCUUUUACGAGAUGGGCACUCAGUAUUGUUUGACAAAAUGAGUUGCACUUUAUACUUGAACGGUCGUAUUAUCUCUCAUGGUAAUAUGAUAGAGGGACUUUUUCACCUAGAGACGAAUAGUGGGAUGCACUGUAUUGAAAACGGGAAUACCUCAAAACCCAAAAGGGCUAGAGAAGAAGUUAACCAAGAAAGGAUGUGGCAUCUUAAACUUGGACAUGUGAACCUUGAUAAAAUUCGCAAGAUGUCGAAAGACGGAUAUCUCCGCCCAUUAGGUAAUGACCAGAUGGGUACUUGUGAAUGUUGCUUGAAUGGGAAGAUGACCAAAUCUCCAUUCACUGGGAAAGGAGAGCGUGCCACUGAAAUUCUAGGGUUAAUCCACACUGACAUAUGUGGACCUAUGUCUACUACGUCGAGAUGAGGCUUCUCCUACUAUAUCACAUUCAUCGACGAUCACUCUCGGUUUGUCUAUGUGUAUCUGAUGAAGUACAAGUCAGAAUCCUUUGAAAGGUUCAAAGAAUUCAAGAAUGAAGUUGAGAAGCAAAUUGGAAAAAUCGGAUCGAGGGGGUGAAUAUCUAAGUAAUGAAUUCCUAGACUACCUCAAGGAGUGUCGAAUAGUAUCACAGUGGACUCCACCAGGAACUCCUCAACAUAACGGAGUUUCUGAAUGGAGAAAUCGAACUUUGAUGAACAUGGUUCAUUCUAUGAUGAGUUCCGCUGACUUACCAGUUUCGUUCUGGGGAUAUGCACUGAAGGAAUAUUUUGUGAAAACAAGUUCAUUUAAGCAACAUCUAUAAGCAUGCAAUUAACAAUUAAAGGCGGAAUCAUGCUUGCAUGCACUUAAAAACAAAACUUUAACCAUGAAAUUCAAAGCCUAGUAGAUUGGUGAACCAAAACUCAACUCAAAACAAAGUGAGUUGAAAUUUAUACCUUUGUAGAUUCCUCUUUGCAUAAGCAAAGGCUAAUCACCCAAAGAGAGGGCCUUCAUUCCUUGCAUCUUAAAUCUAUGGAUUUGGAUGGAAGAAUAGGUUUCUCCAAGUUCCCAAAAUUGAGAACCUCUAAGUCUCUUCACCAAGGAGAGAUUGGAGAAGAAAUGAGUGACCUUGGAGUAGUGGGAUUGCAAGAUGCACCCCCCAAGGUGGCCGGCCUCUUUAGAGAGAAAUGGAGAGACAAGUUCUCACCAAUUUUCUCCAAAACAAACCCUUAAUGAAUUUUGGCUAUAAAGUCAUAUUUAUACCUUUAUUCAUUUGAGUGGCAAACUUGUAAAUAAGUCCAAGUUCACUACCCUAAACAAUAUGGCCGGCCAUUAGGAUAUUUUGGACUAAUUGGGCCUUUGUGAAUCAUUAUUCAUUAAGUUGUCAUACAACUUAAGUUAAUGGGCUUGACGUUCGAAGCCCAUUGGGCCUUAAGGUCCAAAACUAUCCCGAGGGCUUUAACGAACUUAUUCGUUUGAUUAAUUAACAUAUUAAUUAAUCCUUGCCAUAUAUAAAUAAUUAAACCAUUUAAUCAUUCUUACUCAUCUCCAUUGUUUCUUCAAUCUCCACCUUACACGGUGUGCGAUCCAUUAGGUUCCUUUUAGCGAGGCAGUGUGCGAUUAAAACCAUUUUACAUCGAUUGUGAAUUGAAACUUAAUUUCAAUUCUCCCUUUAGUGAUUACACACGUUUAGGGCUUCCACAAACCAUGAGUGACACCUUGCAGCAUAUCAUGGUUACCCAAGCUAAUCAGAAGAGGUAGAGAAAACCUAUUCAGUUUGGGAUUACAAAUGCAAUACGGUCUUUCUCUAAUCUAAUACUCCUGACCACAUUGUUUGGUUUGAUAGUUUAUUUAUUCAUGUCUACUAUCCAAUGUGAUUCGUGUGCUUAUAUGAUUUCCUUGAAUGUGAUUUAGAACGACUUUUCUAAAUCUCAUUCAUACUCUGGCUAGAGAUUCUAAAUCAUAUCAUAGAGUAUUCUCCCCCAAACGGUUUGAAGGUUAGAGAUCCCUUGUUGCGCAUUCACUUGCCUCCAUGACUAAGUGGCUUAACCCCAACGAUGCCGUGGACACCCCGAUGGGGUGACUUUGACAUAAUCAAAGAUCAAAGACUUAACCACAAGACAACUGUGAUGCCUCAGGUCAAAGGACUAAUUUGCAUUAUCCCAAACAUGAGUUCUCAUGUGACAUGAGUAUGAGAACUCUUCGCUGAUCGCGUUCAGUGAACUCAUUCUCUACUGAGCACCUACGUACUUGUCUUGAUGUCACACACACCAAUGACUCGAGACUAGUCAUUCUCCCUAAGAGAAAACAUAGCAUGUACCGAUCUUGACGGACUGUCAAUGCCCAAUUGGCAAUCCUAUGAUCAGGAACAUUUAGGAUGUGUCUACGAAAGAAUGGUCUCAUGAAUCUAACUUCAUUAGAUUACAUUCUUCCAAUCACAUAUUCCUUGGACUUUAUCGUUUAAGCAUAUAACAUUUAUAUGAGACGGCUCAAACAAUAAUCUUUGCCCUUUAUAGUUAAACUAGAUUAGUUUAACAUGUAAAAUGUCCGUAAAGUAUCAUCAUAUGAUUGGCUUUAGGGCACAUUUCCAACAUGCACUACAAACAGGAGCUUAUUUGCUAAAUAGAGUGCCUUCCAAGUCAAUUCCACAAACGCCAUAUGAGAUAUGGCAUGGCAAAAGCACAAAUCUUAAUCAUAUUAGGAUUUGGGGUUGUCCGGCUUACGUAAAAAGGCUUGAAGCUGACAAGCUUGAAGCAAGAUCAGUUAAGUGCUAUUUUGUGGGGUAUUCCAAACAGACUUUGGGAUACGAAUUUUAUAACCCUGAUGACCAGAAAGUCUUUGUCGCCAGAACUGCUAUGUUCCUUGAGGACGAAUUCGUUCUCAAAGGAAGUAGCAAGAAAACGAUAGAAUUGAAGGAAAUUAAUGAGACUAAUGAUGAACCACAAACAAGCACUCGACAAGUUGACAACCCUGUUCCUGAACCCCUAGCUCCACGUAGAUCUGAACGGGUUAGUAAGCCACCUAAGAGGUAUGGCUUAGAUAAUGACUUAGGGGAAUUGCACCUUCUAGGUGACAAUGACAUAAAGGAGGACCCUAGAGACUACACUGAAGCAAUGUCCGACAUUGAUUCAAAGAGAUGGCAAGAGGCCAUGAAAUCCGAGAUGCAUUCCAUGUAUCAAAAUCAGGUCUGGACUCUUGUAGACCCUCCAGAAGGUAUAGUACCUGUUGGUAACAAAUGGGUCUUCAAGAGGAAGAUAGGCGUUGAUGGGAACGUGGAGACUUAUAAGGCUAGACUAGUAGCCAAGGGUUAUAGGCAAUGAGAAGGGAUUGACUAUGAAGAAACCUUCUGUCAUGUAGCCAUGAUUAAGUCCAUUCGGAUUUUGCUUGCUAUACUACGUACCAUGAUUAUGAGAUAUGGCAAAUGGACGUGAAGACGGCCUUUCUGAAUGGCUACCUAGAGGAAGAGCUCUAUAUGACUCAACCCGAAGGUUUCGUGUCCAAGUCUGAAAAGGCUAAGGUAUGCAAGCUUCAAAGGUCCAUUUAUGGACUUAAGCAAGCCUCCAGAAGCUGGAACAUUCGUUUCAAUACUAAAAUCAAAACGUUUGGUUUUACUCAAAACGAAGACGACAAUUGUGUUUAUCAAAAGGUCGUUAGGGAUGCAGUUGUAUUCCUAGUGUUAUAUGUAGAUGACAUAUUACUAUUCGGGAAUGACACUGCAGUACUUUCUUCUGUAAAAGUGUUGUUGUCCAAAACCUUCCACAUGAAAGAUUUGGGAGAUGCAUCUUAUGUACUUGGGAUAAAGCUCUAUCGUGAUAGAUCCAUAAAAUUAAUUGGAUUAUCCCAAUCUAUGUACAUAGAUAAGGUGCUAAGUAGGUUCUAGAUAGAACAAUCUAAGAAAGGUCUUCUUCCUGUAAGACAUGGAAUUCACCUUUCUAAGUCCAUGGGACCUAAGACUCCUGAAGAGAUACGGCAGAUGAGUGCUAUUCCUUAUGCUUCCGCCAUAGGAAGUCUCAUGUAUGCCAUGAUAUGCACAAGGCCUGAUAUCGCAUAUGCUGUGAGCAUUACUAGUCGAUAUCAAUCUAACCCAGGAUCAGAACACUAGGCAGCUGUCAAGACGGUCCUUAAGUACUUAAGAAGAACUAAGGACAUGUUCCUUGUUUAUGAAUGAGCAACAGAGUUACGAGUGGAAGCCUAUACAGACGCAAAUUUCCAAUCUGACGUCGAUGAUAGAAGUUCCAACUCCGGAUAUGUAUUCACUUUGAAUGGUGGGGCUGUUAGCUGGAAAAGCAAGAAACAAGAUGUAAUUGUUGAUUCCACGACAGAGGCAGAAUAUGUCGCUGCAGCUGAAGCUGGCAAAGAAGCGUUCUGGAUGAAGAAGUUCAUCACUGAACUUGGAGUGGUUCCAACCAUUACAUCACCAGUAACUUUGUACUGUGAUAAUAGUGGGGCGAUAGCUCAAGCCAAGGAACCCAGGGCUCAUCAAAAGAACAAGCAUUUUGACAGUCGCUUUAAUAUCAUUAGAAGAUAUGUUGCCGAGGGGAAAGUCAACAUCCUCAAAGUUGCCUCAGCAGAUAACGUAUCAGAUCCACUGACAAAGCCAAUGUCUCAAAUACAACUUGACCGCCAUAUGGAAAAGAUGGGUAUUAGACACAUGGGAAGGUGGCUUUAAGAGUAAGUGGGAGAUUGUUGGAAGUAUGCCCACAAAGCCACUCAUUUGAUGUAAUAGCUUUUGGAAUACUUAAUGUAUUAAACUAUUAUAUGUUUAAUGAAGGGCAAAGCUUAUUGUUAAUCACUAUUUAUUGUAUCAUGUGUUUAAGCAAUAAGGGAAUCCAAGGAAUGUAUUUGAUCUAAGAGAGAAGUGAUUUAACUAAGUUAGAUUAACGAGACCUUUCUCUUAUGUUCAUUCCUAAAACGUUCCUAGCCAUAGGAUUGCCAAUUGGGCAUUGACAAUCCGCUAAGGUUAGUAUGUGUUAUGUCAACUCAAGCGUGAGUAUGACUAGUCUCAAGUCAUUUAGUGUUGGACACUAAGACAAACACAUAGGUGCUUGAAAGAGUAAUCGAGUACACUGGACAAUGAUCAAAAGAGAGUUCGAACAUACAUGUCAUGUAAGAACUUGUAAGUUGCAAUGUGCAAAGUAGUCCUUUGACCUAAGGCAUCAUAGAUGUCUAAUGGUUAGGUCCUUGAUCUUUGAUCAUGUCAAAUGCAUUCCAUCGAGAGUGUCCACGGCAUGGUUGGGGUCAAGCUAUCUAGUCAUGUAGGCAUAUGAAUGCACAACAAGGGAUCUCUAACCUUCCAUAGUGGAAGGAGAAUACUCUAAGAUAUGAUUCGGGAGUCUUUGGCCAAAGCAUACGAAUAUGACUUAGGAAGUAUGUUCCAAAUCAUAUUCAAUUGAAUCAUAUAGAUAAGUAUUACACUGGAUAGUAGACAUGAAACAAACUAUCACUCAAACAAUGUGAUUAAGAGUAUUGUAUUAGAAAAGGACCGUAUUGCAUUGAAAUUGUAACUGGAUAGGUUCUCCAACCAAUUCUAUUUAGCUUGGGUAGCCAUGACAUGCUGCUAGGUGUCACUCAUGGUUUGUGGAAGCCCUGAAGAUUAGCAAACACUAAUCUUCAACAAAGGGAGAAUUGAAAUGUUGUUUCAAUUCACAAUCAAUCAUUAAGAGUAACAAUCGCCCACUGCUUCGCUAAUUGGAACCUAAUGGAUCGUACACCGAGUAAGGAUGAAAGUGAAGAAAUAUAAAUGAAAUGGAUAUGCAAUUAAAUGGUUUAAUUGAAAAUGGUCAAGAUUAAUUAAUUAGUUAAUUAAUUUUACGAAACGUUCGUAUUGGGCUUUUAAGUUGGUUUUGGGUUUCGCGGCCCAAAAGUGUUUUGGCCCACAAAGGCCAUUAUGUUUAUGUUGUAUGACAACUAAAACAAAAUGGGCAAUUAGCCCAAUAACAAUGACAAGGCCGGCCAUAAGGGAGAGUGGAUGCAAACUUGAAUUAAUUGCAAGUUUGCCACUCAAAUGUGAUGUAGUAUAAAGUUAACUUUAUAGCUAUUUUCUCAUGAGGGUUUUCUUUGAGGCAAAGAGGUGAAACAUUUUCUCUCUUUCCUCUACAAGGAGGCCGGCCACUUAGAGAGGAUUUAGCUAGCAAUCUUUUCUUCUCUAAGUCAUCCAUUUCAUCUUUACACCUCAUCCUUGGUGUGGAGACUUAGAGACACCAAACCUUUGGUGUUUUUGGAGAUCCUUUUCUUACAUCCUCAAGGAGCAAAGGAGCACAAAAAGGAAGGAAAUCACAAGGAAGAUCCAAGGAACUAGGAGGUGACUUGAAGGCCCUCCACUUGGGUGAAUCCCUUGUGUAAACAAGGAUGAGCUUCAAGGGUAAUAAAUCUCUAAAUCUUACCUUCUCUUUAAUGUUGUUAAAGAGUCUUAUGGUUCACCAUUCACUAGGCUUUGAAAGUCAUGGGUUUUAGAAUUGUUUUUUAAUGCAUGCCUACUUUAAUGUGUUAAUAGUUUGCAUGUGUGUUCAAAUGUUCUCACAUGUUCUUAGCUAGGACAAAAUUUUUCCUUCAACAACAAAUGGCCUAAUCCACUUAGACCGUAACUUACCAGGGAACAAUCGUAGACGGGAAUUGAAUAGUAGCACUUUCUGUCCAAUUGAGAAUGUUUUUCCCUGAAUCAUUUUGUCAUGAAACGCCUUUGUUUUCUCCUUGUAAAUUCGCGCAUUCUCAUAGGCUUCGUUCCGUAUCCCCUCAAGUUCAUUCAGUUGGAGCUUCCUAUUCAUUCCAACAGCAUCUAAGUCUAAAUUGAAUGUUUUCACAGCCCAGUGCGCUUUGUGCUCCAGUUCCACAGGUAGGUGACACAGCUUGCCGUAGAUUAGUCAAAAUGGAGACAUCCCUAUAGGUGUUUUGUAGGCAGUGCGAUAUGCCCACAGUGCAUCAUCUAAACGCAAGCUCCAAUCCUUCCGGUUUGGCCCAACAGUCUUCUCCAAGAUUUGCUUGAUUUCUCUAUUCGAGACUUCAGCUUGGCCACUUGUUUGAAGGUGGUAUGGCGUGGAAACCCGAUGCUUCACAUUGUACUUUUUAAACAGCGCCUCAAUGAUGCGAUUGCAAAAGUGGGAGCCUCUAUCGCUUAUGAACACCCUGGCAUGCCAAAUCUGGAAAAGAUGUUAGCCUUGAUAAAAUCUGCCACCACUCUAGAAUCGUUAGUAUGGGUGGCUUUGGCUUCCACCCAUUUUGACACAUAAUCAACGGCUAGCAAAAUAUAAGUAAAACCAUAUGAGGGCGGAAAGGGUCCCAUGAAAUCCAUACCCCAUACAUCAAAGAUCUCCACAUUAAAGAUGGGGGUUUGUGGCAUUUGGUCUUUGGCACCGAUUGUACCUAUUCUUUGGCAUCUAUCACAAGUUAUACAAAAUGUUCUAGCAUCCUUAAACAAUGUAGGCCAAUAGAAACCACUCUCUAAAACCUUGAGGGCCAUCCUUUGGGUGCCAAAAUGACCCCCACAUGCAUAACUAUGGCAAAAUGCAAGAAUUGAAUUAAACUCAGAAUUGUGCACACAUCUACGAAUACUCUGGUCAAGACAAUACUUCCACAAAUAUGGAUCAUCCCACACAUAAAGUCGUGCAUCAUUUCUGUGUUUAUCACGCUUGUAUUUUUCUAGAGUGCUAGGAACUUGUUUUGUGACCAAAUAAUUGACCAAAUCAGCAUACCAUGGCUCACUUACCUCUAGGGACAGCAAUUGCUCGUCAGGGAAGGUCUCUAGAAUGGGUAAGGAGUCCUCCUCGUGCACCAAAUGGCUGAGGUGGUCAGCCACCACGUUUUCACUCCCCUUUUUGUCUCUUAUUUCAAUGUUGAACUCUUGAAGUAGGAGCAUCCAACAAAUCAGCCUUGGUUUGGCCUCCUUCUUGGUGAUGAGGUACUUGAACGCUGCAUGGUCAAAAUAUACAAUCACUUUAGUGCCAAGUAAGUAUGAACAAAAUUUAUCUAAAGCAAAUACAACUGCAAGAAGUUCUUUCUCAGUGGUAGAAUAAUUCAAUUGGGCAUCAUUUAGUGUCCGGGAAGCAUAGUGGAUGAUGUGAGGUUGUUUGUUCCUCCUUUGGCCUAAAACAGCACCAAUGGCAUAAUUAGAUGCAUCACACAUUAGCUCAAAUGGAAGGCUCCAAUCUAGUGGCAUGAUGAUGGGGGCCAACGUCAACAUGUCCUUGAGGGUUUUGAAAGUGGUCUCACACUCCUUGUUGAACUCGAAGGCUACUUCCUUUUGGACUAAACGGCAAAGGGGUUGGGUGAUUUUUGAGAAAUCCUUGAUGAAUCUCCUAUAAAAUCCUGCAUGGCCAAGAAAAGAGCGAACCUCCCUCACCGAAGUGAGAGAGGGUAAAUGACGUACAAGAUUUAUUUUAGAUUUAUCAACCUCAAUCCAUUUUUCUAAUAUGAUAUGCCCCAAAACGAUACCUUGUUUUACCAUAAAAUGACACUUUUCCCAAUUCAAAACAAGAUUAGUUUUGAUGCAUCGUUGUAAGAUCAGAGUAAGAUUAUUCAAGCAUGCAUCAAAUGAGUCACCAAAGACACUAAAGUCAUCCAUAAACACUUCAAUGAUCUUUUCCACAAAUUCUGAGAAAAUACUUACCAUACACCUUUGGAAUGUGGCUGGUGCGUUGCAUAGCCCAAAUGGCAUGCGUCGAUAAGCAAAGGUACCAAAGGGACAUGUGAAGGUAGUCUUUUCUUGGUCAUCGGGAGCUAUCACAAUCUGAUUAUAACCCGAAUAGCCAUCAAGAAAACAAUAAAAUGAAUCACCGACUAACCUUUCCAACAUUUGAUCAAUAAAGGGCAGCGGGAAAUGAUCUUUUCUUGUCGUAGCGUUGAGCUUCCGAUAGUCAAUACAAACUCUCCAUCCGGUUUGGAUUCGGGUGGGCACAAGUUCAUUAGCUUCAUUUUUUACCACAGUGACUCCGGACUUCUUAGGAACAACUUGGACCAGCGAGACCCAAUGGCUAUCAGAAAUUGGGUAAAUCACUCCACAAUCUAGUAGCUUAAUGAUUUCCUUCUUCACAAUGUCCAUCAUGGGUGGAUUGAGCCGGCGUUGUGCUUCUCUAGAUGGUUUGGCUCCUUCUUCCAAGAGUAUUCGAUGCAUACAAAUGGUAGGGCUAAUUCCCUUGAUAUCGGCCAAUGUCCACCCAAUGGCAGUUUUGUAUUCCCGAAAAACCCUCACGAACUUGUCCUCCUCUUGUAAAAUGAGUGAAGAAGAGAUGAUGAUGGGCAGCGUCUCUUGCUCUCCCAAAAACACAUAUUUUAAAUGGCUAGGCAAUGGUUUAAGCUCUAGGGAAGGGGGCUGGAUUACAGAAGGAAGCAACUUGUUAGUCGAAAUAGGAAUUGAAAUUAGGUUAUGAGACUUACCAAUAUGCCUUGCAUUUAACUCUAGGGCAGCAACCAUAUCCACCAAUUCUUCUUGAAUAGACACGGCAAGAUGUUCCUUGUUGUUGCCGUGUGCAUGCCUAAGUGCUAACUGAAGGAUUAUUUUGUGAAAACAGGUUCAUUUAAGCAACAUCAAUAAGCAUGCAAUUAACAAUUAAAGGCGGAAUCAUGCUAUCAUGCACUUAAAAAACAAAACAUUAACCAAGAAAUUCAAAGCCUAGUAGAUUGGUGAACCAAAACUCAACUCAAAACAAAGUGAGUUGAAAUUGUACCUUUGUAGAUUCCUCUUUGCAUAAGCAAAGGCUAAUCACCCAAAGAGAGGGCCUUCAUUCCUUGCAUAAUAAAUCUAUGGAUUUAGAUGGAUGAAUAGGUUUCUCCAAGUUCCCAAAAUAGGGAACCUCUAAGUCUCUUCACCAAGGAGAGAUUGGAGAAGAAAUGAGUGACCUUGGAGUAGUGGGAUUGCAAGAAGCACCCCCCAAGGUGGCCGGCCUCUUUA